rnacentral:sRNA from 1 species
UCCUGCAAGCAGCACCAGCUGGCAACCAAGAAGCUGGACCUGUGGAUGCUGCCAGAGAUUCUCAUCAUCCACCUGAAACGCUUUUCCUACACCAAGUUCUCCCGAGAGAAGCUGGACACCCUCGUGGAGUUUCCUAUCCGGGACCUGGACUUUUCUGAGUUUGUCAUCCAGCCACAGAAUGACUCGAAUCCAGAGCUGUACAAAUAUGACCUCAUCGCGGUUUCCAACCAUUAUGGGGGCAUGCGUGAUGGACACUGUAUGUGCCAGGCUGUGGGUGGGGCCUGCCCUGGGGGUUCUGGGCAGGGGGGGCGAUCAGGACCUUCCCAGUGAGUGACUAGGGAUGUGAGCCAGUGGUGAGGUUAUCGUGGUGGGAGGAGUGACAGAGUGAAUCUGGACACUUCUGAGAGGCAGGAAGGGUAGGCGAGGAUAACUGUCCGUCCCUUUCAGACACAACAUUUGCCUGCAACAAGGACAGCGGCCAGUGGCACUACUUUGAUGACAACAGCGUCUCCCCUGUGAAUGAGAAUCAGAUCGAGUCCAAGGCAGCCUAUGUCCUCUUCUAUCAACGCCAGGACGUGGCGCGACGCCUGCUGUCCCCGACCGGCUCAUCUGGCGCCCCAGCCUCCCCUGCCUGCAGCUCCCCACCCAGCUCUGAGUUCAUGGAUGUUAAUUGAGAGCCCUGGGUCCUGCCACAGG